UUGAACGCUGGCGGCAGGCCUAACACAUGCAAGUCGAGCGGUAGCACAGAGAGCUUGCUCUCGGGUGACGAGCGGCGGACGGGUGAGUAAUGUCUGGGAAACUGCCUGAUGGAGGGGGAUAACUACUGGAAACGGUAGCUAAUACCGCAUAAUGUCGCAAGACCAAAGUGGGGGACCUUCGGGCCUCAUGCCAUCAGAUGUGCCCAGAUGGGAUUAGCUAGUAGGUGGGGUAACGGCUCACCUAGGCGACGAUCCCUAGCUGGUCUGAGAGGAUGACCAGCCACACUGGAACUGAGACACGGUCCAGACUCCUACGGGAGGCAGCAGUGGGGAAUAUUGCACAAUGGGCGCAAGCCUGAUGCAGCCAUGCCGCGUGUGUGAAGAAGGCCUUCGGGUUGUAAAGCACUUUCAGCGGGGAGGAAGGCGUUAAGGUUAAUAACCUUGGCGAUUGACGUUACCCGCAGAAGAAGCACCGGCUAACUCCGUGCCAGCAGCCGCGGUAAUACGGAGGGUGCAAGCGUUAAUCGGAAUUACUGGGCGUAAAGCGCACGCAGGCGGUCUGUCAAGUCGGAUGUGAAAUCCCCGGGCUCAACCUGGGAACUGCAUUCGAAACUGGCAGGCUAGAGUCUUGUAGAGGGGGGUAGAAUUCCAGGUGUAGCGGUGAAAUGCGUAGAGAUCUGGAGGAAUACCGGUGGCGAAGGCGGCCCCCUGGACAAAGACUGACGCUCAGGUGCGAAAGCGUGGGGAGCAAACAGGAUUAGAUACCCUGGUAGUCCACGCCGUAAACGAUGUCGAUUUGGAGGUUGUGCCCUUGAGGCGUAGCUUCCGGAGCUAACGCGUUAAAUCGACCGCCUGGGGAGUACGGCCGCAAGGUUAAAACUCAAAUGAAUUGACGGGGGCCCGCACAAGCGGUGGAGCAUGUGGUUUAAUUCGAUGCAACGCGAAGAACCUUACCUGGUCUUGACAUCCACAGAACUUUCCAGAGAUGGAUUGGUGCCUUCGGGAACUGUGAGACAGGUGCUGCAUGGCUGUCGUCAGCUCGUGUUGUGAAAUGUUGGGUUAAGUCCCGCAACGAGCGCAACCCUUAUCCUUUGUUGCCAGCGGUUAGGCCGGGAACUCAAAGGAGACUGCCAGUGAUAAACUGGAGGAAGGUGGGGAUGACGUCAAGUCAUCAUGGCCCUUACGACCAGGGCUACACACGUGCUACAAUGGCAUAUACAAAGAGAAGCGACCUCGCGAGAGCAAGCGGACCUCAUAAAGUAUGUCGUAGUCCGGAUUGGAGUCUGCAACUCGACUCCAUGAAGUCGGAAUCGCUAGUAAUCGUAGAUCAGAAUGCUACGGUGAAUACGUUCCCGGGCCUUGUACACACCGCCCGUCACACCAUGGGAGUGGGUUGCAAAAGAAGUAGGUAGCUUAACCUUCGGGAGGGCGCUUACCACUUUGUGAUUCAUGACUGGGGUG
rnacentral:rRNA from 1 species